GUCUUAUUGAUAAUAAUUUUAAGUCGACCUGCCCAAUGAAAGUAUUUGAAUGGCUGCAGUAUAACUGACUGUACAAAGGUAGCAUAAUCAAUUGGUUUUUAAAUGAAAUCUGGAAUGAAAGGAUUAAUGAAAUAUAUACUGUCUCAUAUAUAUUUCACGAAUUUAAAAUUUUAAUUAAAAUGUUAAAAUUUUUUUAUGGGACGAUAAGACCCUAUAGAAUUUUAUAUCAUCACGUCUUAACUGUUAACGUAAAAAAUGUGCUGAUAUUUGGUUGGGAGGACUAUUAAAUUUAAUAAACUUUAAUUUGUUAUAACUUUAAUUAAAGAGUAAACUUAAUGACCUUUAAAUUAAAACAUCUAGAGUAAAUUACCUUAGGGAUAACAGCGUUAUACUUUUUUAUAGACCAUAUAGAAAAAAGUGAUUGCGACCUCGAUGUUGAAUUAAGAUAAAUUUUAAACGCAGGAGUUUAAUAAUUAAGUCUGUUCGACUUUUAAAAUCUUACAUGAUUUGAGUUCAAAUCGACGUAAGU
rnacentral:rRNA from 1 species